rnacentral:lncRNA from 1 species
CCAGUGAGCCACGAAGGCAGGGGCCCUGUGUGAUACUUAUAAGAGAAUAUCUCUCCCACCACCCUCAUUCUCCCUGCUUUAGAGAUCGUAUUGUGGGGACAGGAGACCUGGAGCUGAAGCACGUAUUUUGUGACCACUAGGCAAGAAGCCUGAAGGAAAAUUCCAAAAUAAUAGGAGGAAAGAGAAAACCACCAUUUGGGUCAUUGAGAUCAUACUUGGGCUGGCAAUCAAGUCUUAUUUUUAUUGGUAAUGAAUAUUCUCUGGCUUAAUGCAUGGUUACUGUGGUUUUCUAGUUCCUAGAACAGUGUCUGGAAGGAAAUCCAAAGUGUUUGUUGAUUCAAUAGCUUAAAUUUUGGUCAUUUUCAUGUUCCAAACAUCCAAUAUGGUUCUUCAUAUGCAUUAGCUGAUGGAGAAGCUGAAACCUACAGGCUGUACAGAGGUAUCUCAGGUCAUACCUUUGGUUCAAAUAAAACCCAGAACAGAAGAACUGGAAAGACUGCAGGUGCAGUGACCGGAAGUUCUCUACAGUUGCUAAGAAGACUCUAAGGAUAUUGAAAGUUAAGUAGGGCCACACCUCAGGAGCCACAGGAAAGAUUGGCUGAACUCCAAAAUGAAGAAGAAAAAUACAUAACGAAUCAUUUUCAGUCUCUACUGGCAUCUUCACCACAAAUCUAGUAGACUAAUUAAACACUCUAUGGAUUACAUUCUAUUAAAAACAUGUAUGUAUAUGGAGAGAUUAUCUCAUAUAUGGCUUAUUUACCUAACCAUAGCCUAUUUGAAGACAACUUAUUUGACUUGAAGAUAAAGGUUGAGAACUGAAACUACCUUCCCUUACCCACAGUUUGGACACUAAGGAAUUAAAAUGCCUGUUUUGCCCUCACUACCCACAGAU